rnacentral:rRNA from 1 species
GGCGGCAGUAGCGCGGUGGUCCCACCUGACCCCAUGCCGAACUCAGAAGUGAAACGCCGUAGCGCCGAUGGUAGUGUGGGUCUCCCAUGCGA